CACGUAGGGUGCGAGCGUUAUCCGGAUUUACUGGGCGUAAAGCGCUUGUAGGUGGUCUUGUAAGUUGGGCGUGAAAGCUCCGGGCUUAACCCGGAGAGGCCGUCCAAUACUGCGAGGCUGGAGGAUGUCAGAGGAAGGUGGAAUUCCUGGUGUAGUGGUGAAAUGCGUAGAUAUCAGGAGGAACACCCGUGGGCGAAGGCGGCCUUCUGGGGCAUUCCUGACACUGGAGAAGCGAAAGCUAGGGGAGCAAACAGG
rnacentral:rRNA from 1 species